AUUGAACGCUGGCGGCAGGCCUAACACAUGCAAGUCGAGCGGAUGAACGGAGCUUUCUCCCGGAUUCCGCGGCGGACGGGUGAGUAAUGCCCAGGAAUCUGCCUGGUAUUGGGGGAUAACGUCCGGAAACGGGCGCUAAUAUCGCACACGCCCUGAGGGAGAAAGUGGGGGAUCUUUGGACCCCACGCUAUCAGAUGAGCCUAGGUCGGAUUAGCUAGUUGGUGGGGUAAAGGCCUACCAAGGCGACGAUCCGUAGCUGGUCUGAGAGGAUGAUCAGUCACACUGGAACUGAGACACGGUCCAGACUCCUACGGGAGGCAGCAGUGGGGAAUAUUGGACAAUGGGCGAAAGCCUGAUCCAGCCAUGCCGCGUGUGUGAAGAAGGUCUUCGGAUUGUAAAGCACUUUUAGUUGGGAAGAAGGGCAGUGAGUUAAUACCUUCCUGUUUUGACGUUACCAAAAGAAUAAGCACCGGCUAACUUCGUG
rnacentral:rRNA from 1 species